rnacentral:rRNA from 1 species
CAGCCGCCGCGGGAAUACGUAGGUCCCGAGCGUUGUCCGGAUUUAUUGGGCGUAAAGGGAGCGCAGGCGGUUUAGUAAGUCUGAAGUUAAAGGCAUUGGCUCAACCAAUGUAUGCUUUGGAAACUGUUAGACUUGAGCGCAGAAGGGGAGAGUGGAAUUCCAUGUGUAGCGGUGAAAUGCGUAGAUAUAUGGAGGAACACCGGUGGCGAAAGCGGCUCUCUGGUCUGUCACUGACGCUGAGGCUCGAAAGCGUGGGUAGCGAACAGGAUUAGAUACCCGAGUAGUCCCUGUCUCUUAUACA